GCUUUUUCUUCCCAAACAAACCCUACAUUACCUUUUCCGUUAUUUAUACAGAGAAGAAAAGAAGAAACGGCGGCUACAAAUGAUGAAGAAAUGGAGUCUCUGCUUCGCACCUUCGAUCAUAUAUACGAUGAUGUGAAGAAUGGAAUCACACAGAUUCAAUCCUUGCAAUCAAAUUGCAACGCCGAAGUUAAUAAUGGACAAGUUCUUCAACUCAUUUCCAAUAGCCUCAAACCAGCUUGAACGUCGGACCAAUUGCCAGAGCUUGAAAGAAGAAUUGGUGAGAAUGAGAAUUGAAUAUCUUUGGAAGGAAACUUCGAUGGUGUGCGAAAGUAAAAGGACAAAGGAGAAGGAAAGGGACAACGAGGAAUUCGAGGUUACUUGUUUUUUCUAAUGGUAUGUUUUUAAAUCAUGGUAAACAACUGAUUGUCUAUUUAAUGUAUUCUUGAACUUACUAACCAUUACAUAACCAUAUCAUGUAAUUAUUCUACGUUGAGCAUGUGACACUUGUUGUAGAUUUAGUCCAUUUACAAGUAGACAAGCACCUCGUUUAGUACAUUGGACAUAUGAGGUGAUUAAAAAGAGAAUCUCCCUGUUGGAAAAAUUUCAAUACCAAAACAACAAGAAGGUUAGUUUUAUCGUUGAAGAUAAUGAUGUGAGUGUAGAGGCAAACAUGGAUGCACGGCUAAGUAAUGUUGAAAAAGAAGUGAGAGAUUUGAGAGGAGACUUGAAUAACUUAGUUGUUGGUGUCAGUCAAUGAAUAGAAUCUACAAAAGAGGAGAUUUUGAUAGCAAUUUCAACAGUUAGCUAAUGGGCCAUUGAGAAGGAGAAACACUCUCAUGAUAUUGAUCGUCAGUUGGAAAAGGAAGAUAUCUUUAAUAAUAGAUGAAGUCCCCCACCUUAUGCUUUUCCAAGAUCGUAAGUUUCUUAUGGAUAAACAACUCAAAGAAGAAAAUGAGGGAUUGCUUAAGAUUCCAUUAUGUGAUCAGUUCACAUGGUUUGUAUUUCUGUUUGCCCCUCUUUUUAGUGAACAUGAGCUACUAUCACCAAAGUUACCAAAAGUGAUUUUAAAAUGGUCAAUUCUGGUAGAAUGAUGGUGCCCAGUCUUCAACAGUUUUGCCUUAUCAUAUGAAAGCUUAGGAGGGAAAGCUAAUGAAAAAAAAGAGCAAACAUAUACUUUCACUAUAUGAUGUUGAACUUGACAAGAAAUAUAAUAUAACAAGCAAACAACUUGACAUAUUGCCCAAAUAUGGACAAAAGGUAAUAAAUAAUAUUUGUACACUUAAUAUUUUUUGAGGAAUAAUUCAUUAGAAAUGAACUUAGUCACUGACUUAUUUAUGUUAUACAGGAAGCUACCUUGAAAAAUAAACAAGUUGUGUUUACUGAACAACAUUUGAAAAAUGUAUACUUAUGUUUUCCUAUAGAAACUCAUUUUUAGGAGAAUAAUCAAUUACAUACUUUAUGAAAAUGUUUUUAAUUAUUGGAUAAAAAUAGAUUCUUAAGUUAUUGAGUAUGCCGACUCCCAUGAAACAAUUUCAUUUGCCACCGCUUUCAGUUGAGGAUAAAUUGAUAAAAGACUAUUUGUUUCAUCGUAGUAAAUUGGAAAUGUUUUAUUUCUUUUACGAAAUAUUUUGUUUUAUGUUUUAUGUAUUUGUAUUGUCACAUUGACAUGUAUCACUUAAUUAAUAUGACAGUGAAAUUCUUAUUCACUUUGAUAUUCAACAUGGAACGCACAAGAACAUAUGGACAUUAGAUUGUGGUUGUUGGCUUGAUGGAUAAGUAGUAAACCGUUGUACAAAUGAAUUUAUAAUGUUUAAGAUAAUUGUAUUUAUUGAUGAGUUGUUGUUUCUUAGAUAAUCACUUUAGUUGCUUUGCAAUUUACAUUAAAGCAAAAGAAUUGUAUCCCAGAUGCAAAAUAUCCAACGUGGUAUCUAUCUACAUAUUUUUUGGUAAUUUAUUUAUGCAUUUUAUAAUUGAAAGCACUUGACUAUGUAACAUGUCAUGUUUAUCUAUAGUAAGCUUGUGUUAUUGAUAUUUAUUCUAAUUUUUAUGAGUUGUGGUAACAUAUUUUGCACCACAAGGUUUAUAAGCUAAACGUGCUCAAGUCCUAUUUUGGAUAGGAAAACGGUAUAUGGAAAAAAUUAAAUCAUGUAAAAGGGUAUUGAGUUGUUAUUAUUUCACUUUAUUUUCGUUUAAUAUGUUAAUGAAUAAGAUACCAAUGAUUACUGAUUUAAUAUAGGUGUACAUUCCAAUUAAUGAUGCGGGUAAACAUUGGUAUGUGUGUGUGGUAUACAUGCAACAAGAAGUGCUAUAUGUUCUUGAUCCAUAUAUAUCAAGAAGAAGUAGAACUUAGCCAACUCAAGGGAAAAAAGUGAUAUACGUCCUUAUACAAUAUUGUUAUUUGCAUUUUGCAUUGCAUGUUUUCGUAUUAAUUAGUUAUGUAAAUGAUGGGUUGAAGUAUUACAUGACUUAUUGGGAAUUCAGUACAAGAAUGCCUAUACAAAUAAAAUCACCGAGUUUCUAGUUAGAACACUUGAAUGGCUUCCACAACAAUGUAAUGGCUAUGAUUAUGGAAUGCAUAUCAUCAAGUAUUUUGAAUUGGUACAAUUUAUUGAUUCCGAAGUUUGU